GUUUUUUCCAGAAAUCUUAACUCCGGCCUUGGAUUCCUCAAGACCCGCACGUCGCAUGAUGUGUUCUGCGUACAAGUUGAAUAGGGAGGGCGAUAGUAUACAGCCCUGCCGCACUCCUUUCCCAAUCUUGAACCAGUCUGUUGUUCCGUGAUCUAUUCUACUGAGAUCUAGUGCCAGAUCAAAGGUCAUCUUGGUGGGGGGGGGGGGGAGAAGAGUUUCAGCUUCUCCCAAAAAUAUUUUCUGGCUAGGGACCUGAUUCCUAGCAUCCCCAGCUUGACUAAUAGCCAAGGUUUCCGGGAGCUGAGACUUCAAAGCACCUGGAGGAGCAAAGGUGAAGGGAUGCCUCUUGAGCUGGAAGCUUGGGGUGGUCUGGAUGGCCUUUGGGGAGCCCUUCCUUCCCACUAAAGCCUCUUGAGAGGGGAGGAUUGAGGAAAAAGCUAGGUCUCGCCCUUUCCCCCUUUCCUUGGGGCCUGUUUGUUUGUCCUCUGCGCCCCCCCCCCCUUUAAACCGUCCAGGGAAGGGAGGGGUCGAGGAGGAGGAGGAAGCAAAGGAGGAAAGGAGGAGAGAGAAAGAAAGAGAGAGAGAGAGAGAGAGCUGCGGCGGAGGAGGAGGGAUGCAGCUGACAGCUUCGCAGGGGAUGGACUAUAUUUCCACUAGAAAUGGAGUGUCCGACGUCCAUUUGGUCGGUUUUCUGCAAUCUCUUUGCAUCUCCAUUAGACUACUGCGGCACUUCAGUACCUUUGACUGUAUUCUGCAGACUUCUGGGACUUGUAGUUUGUGGCCUUGGAAGCUUAGCAUAUUCUUCUCCAUGCAAUUCAAGAAGAAUCUGAACUACCUGAAAGGAAGGGCUCUGGGGAACCUGGACGCUUGCGCAUUUUGUGAACUUGUAGUCAAUUCUAAUAAACAUACUUUGCAUUGUUUUAUCCAUGUUUCCAAGUGGCCUCUGUGUCCAAGUCACUUCACUUUUUCUCUUGGAAAGAAUGUUUGAAUAUAUUGGAAAAGUAUUGGGAGAA
rnacentral:lncRNA from 11 species